GGGCUAUUACUUUUAUCUACCUCGCUUCCCGUCGCUCCUUAUCGGUUCUUUUUCUUUCUCUUCCAACCAAAAAAUCUUGUCUUCCCAACUUCUUCCACUGAAAGAGAGAAGAACCCUAAUUUUUUGGCUGCAAAAUGUCGGGGAAGGGAGCCAAGGGUCUGAUAAUGGGCAAAUCUGCCUCCAACAACAAGGACAAAGAUAAAAAGAAACCCGUCUCUCGCUCUUCCCGCGCUGGUCUCCAGUUUCCAGUGGGAAGGGUCCACCGUCAACUGAAGUCAAGGGUUGCUGCAAACGGACGGGUCGGGGCUACAGCAGCCGUAUACACAGCAGCAAUCUUGGAGUACCUGACUGCAGAAGUGUUGGAGCUGGCCGGGAAUGCGAGCAAGGAUCUGAAGGUGAAACGU
rnacentral:misc_RNA from 1 species